UACGUAGGGUGCAAGCGUUGUCCGGAAUUAUUGGGCGUAAAGAGCUCGUAGGCGGUCUGUCGCGUCGGAUGUGAAAAUCCAGGGCUCAACCCUGGACCUGCAUUCGAUACGGGCAGACUAGAGUUCGGCAGGGGAGACUGGAAUUCCUGGUGUAGCGGUGAAAUGCGCAGAUAUCAGGAGGAACACCGGUGGCAAAGGCGGGUCUCUGGGCCGAUACUGACGCUGAGGAGCGAAAGCGUGGGGAGCGAACAGG
rnacentral:rRNA from 1 species